UCUUUAUGUACGUUUAUUUUUAAAUCAACCACUUAAAAACUAUACUACAGUUAUUUGAGGGAACAAGUAAAUGCUCAUUGGAGAGUGUUUGGCACGAUAUUCUUGGCAGCCAUUGCAACCAGGAUUUGAUCUAAAGCACAUAUUUUUGUUUGAUAAAGCCUUUAUUAUGUUAUAUAGUUUUAAAAUUUCCAUUAGACAAAAAGUAUGCUUAGCCGAAUGGUUAGCGCGCAAGGCUCUGAGGCAGGAAGUCUAGAUUCGAUUCCUAACUAUCGUUUUUUUUUUGUUUUUUUUAAUCAAGUUUAAUCUUUUUUGAUUUUUCUAAAAUACAAAGUAAAAUGUUUUUAAAGAAAAAAAUUUGUUUUAAAAGAAAGAAAAUUGUUUUGUUGUGCAUUGUAAAUACCA